ACCUUCGGGCCUCUUGCCAUCAGAUGUGCCCAGAUGGGAUUAGCUUGUUGGUGAGGUAACGGCUCACCAAGGCGACGAUCCCUAGCUGGUCUGAGAGGAUGACCAGCCACACUGGAACUGAGACACGGUCCAGACUCCUACGGGAGGCAGCAGUGGGGAAUAUUGCACAAUGGGCGCAAGCCUGAUGCAGCCAUGCCGCGUGUAUGAAGAAGGCCUUCGGGUUGUAAAGUACUUUCAGCGGGGAGGAAGGUGUUGUGGUUAAUAACCGCAGCAAUUGACGUUACCCGCAGAAGAAGCACCGGCUAACUCCGUGCCAGCAGCCGCGGUAAUACGGAGGGUGCAAGCGUUAAUCGGAAUUACUGGGCGUAAAGCGCACGCAGGCGGUCUGUCAAGUCGGAUGUGAAAUCCCCGGGCUCAACCUGGGAACUGCAUUCGAAACUGGCAGGCUUGAGUCUU
rnacentral:rRNA from 1 species